rnacentral:lncRNA from 1 species
GUCACACCCUCUCUCCCCGCUCUCUCCUACUCUCUUUCUCUCUCUCUCUCUACCUCUCUGUUUACUAUGCCCCUCCCUAUUCCCUCUCUCCCCUCAAAAUCCCUUCUUUGUAAGGGAAUCGGGCUGCGGCGGUAGUGACGGCAAUAAUGGUGGUAAUGGCAACGACGACAGCGAUAGCUUGGCGGUUAUGGUGACAAUGACGGGUUUGGCCGCGACGGUGGUGAUGGAGG